rnacentral:rRNA from 1 species
GAUGAACGCUGGCGGCGUGCCUAAUACAUGCAAGUCGAGCGAACAGAUGAGGAGCUUGCUCCUCUGACGUUAGCGGCGGACGGGUGAGUAACACGUGGAUAACCUACCUAUAAGACUGGGAUAACUUCGGGAAACCGGAGCUAAUACCGGAUAAUAUAUUGAACCGCAUGGUUCAAUAGUGAAAGACGGUUUUGCUGUCACUUAUAGAUGGAUCCGCGCUGCAUUAGCUAGUUGGUAAGGUAACGGCUUACCAAGGCAACGAUGCGUAGCCGACCUGAGAGGGUGAUCGGCCACACUGGAACUGAGACACGGUCCAGACUCCUACGGGAGGCAGCAGUAGGGAAUCUUCCGCAAUGGGCGAGAGCCUGACGGAGCAACGCCGCGUGAGUGAUGAAGGUCUUCGGAUCGUAAAACUCUGUUAUUAGGGAAGAACAAAUGUGUAAGUAACUAUGCACGUCUUGACGGUACCUAAUCAGAAAGCCACGGCUAACUACGUG